UGACCGCUCCCCCCCACCCCCCACCAGGGAUCAUGAAUUCGCCGGGUAGAUUUUUCUCCUUGCGCCACCUUAGGGCACCCAGGUUUCCGCCCGGGGGGAACCUUCCUUUCCCCGAGCCUGGCAGUGCGCGGAGCGCAAACUUGGACCCAACUCUUUGUCCCUCUCCCCGGUGCCCGCGCGCGCGCGUAGGAGCGCAGGGGUCCCCACUGCGCGCUCAACCUCGCCCGGCCGCGCGCCUGCCAGGGCGGCUCCAAGUCCGCGGAGAGAGAGAGCCCGUUUUAUCAGCCUCUUUUAAAGGACUUGAAAUAAGUUGUUCAGGGGUCAUUCCGCGCGGGGGCUGGCUGCCUGCUGACGUCUCCAGUCCUUGGCUGGGGGGCGGGGGGGUGCGAACGCCUACGCGCAUUAACUCCGGGAAAGCUCGGAGUCAGGUCAGCCCGGCUCCUCACCCUCGGGCUUCUGACUCUGGCCCGAGUCUGGCCUUUGGGAUUCAUUUCUCUCUCUCAUACACACACACACAUACUCAUCCACCCCCUUAUGAAAUCUGACUCCUGUUUAUCAGGGUCCUGCGCGCCCUUUGCACUUUUACAUUUCACUUAAUUAUUUCAGACUUGAUCGUGGGGAGGAACGGGGGCGAAAAAAGAACCAACACCCCAGCCUUCACCAGCUCCCCUCGAAGGGUUAAGUUUUAAACCGCGGUUUCUCGGACGGGUCCGGAAACCCAGAGUGGGGGCUGGGGAGGACGGGAGUCGGGGCUGCUUCUCCCCUCGGGGGUGUUGCAGAUGCUAAUAACUGUUCAGUUUUCUCCAUCGAUUCUUCUAAAGCUUUGCAAAAAAAAAAAAAAAGAAAAGACAAGAAAAAGGAAGGAAAAAAAAGAAAGAAAAAACCAGCAACUCUGUUUCUAAGAUUUUAAAGCGAUAGGCCAGAUGGAGAAGCCGAGAUUUAUUUGAGGGAAAGCGAGAGGGCGCGGAGCCGACCCAGCGUUUGGAAGACCAGCCUGCCUGCCUGGAUGUUGGACUGUUGAUUCCUCUAAUUAAUGAAAUGCACUUGGUGUUAAUCAUAUUUAUCUUAUUUUAUGGGAGGGGGAGACGCUAGGAGGGUGCAUUAAAAAAAAAAAUCUGAAAAGCCUGCAAAACGGUCGAAGAGUGAAAACUAUUGUUGGACCGAGUUGGUUCUUACCUCAACAGCGCCACCUUUCGGCAAAGCACGGGCCGGCACAUGGUCAGCACAGCGGCCCAUGAGACCGUCAGGGGCCCAGGAGGACAUCUGCAUUUCUUCUAAAGUCAGAGUUAAAGAAGUGAAAAUCAUCGAGCAUGUAUCACAUCUGUCAUUAUACCAACACAGCUAUACAAUAUAAUCAGGUUUCCUUGCGGAAGAAGGAGUUCAUGGAAAGCAAAGUGAGUAGCACCCACACAAGUCUGCAUGGGGCCCUGACAGCAUGUACUUGAUUACCUCCAGUGACUGGGUGCUCACUGCCUCCCUAUUUUACCUUCCACCCUGUCCAUCUGUCUUCCCACAGUGCUGAGACUUGUCAGGAGAAGCUUUUUGUUUGUCUAGUAUCGAGUCGUAUCCCUUUCUUCUGUACAUGAGUCUAGAUUUUAAACACUUGAAAGGAUAUGAUGAGCCCUUACACCACUCGGGGUGUCCCAGGAGGAGAAGAUAGCCACUCUGACACCCUUUCCCCACCAUCCAUUCCUUUUCACUUCUGGACAUGGCCAGUGCCUUCAGCACGUUGAAAAAUGCCUGAAUUUCAAGUGCCCCUGCCUCCCGACUGCUGCCCUGCUCUUAGGGUUCAGAUUCCAGAGCUGAACCCAGAUCCCCAGGUGUGAGCGUCUCAUCACAGAGCAGGCACCGCCCUCCACCUCCGGGAGCCGCAGUCCGUCUGCUCCCGUGCAUGCCGUGACUUCCCCGGUCUCUCCGGCAGAUGCAGCCCAGCAGUGGCCCACCAGGGCUGGCCCCAGGCCUCUUCUCCUCGCCCCUCCCCACUCCUCCGUUUGUGGGCUUGCAUUUUUGAACCCAAGCAUUGAAACAUGCAAUGAUCUCCCGUAGGAUCCAUCCGUCUCCUUCUGUUGAGCCUGGUCCCUGCCUGUCCAAAUCUCUCUUCGGAUCUAGAAUGUGCCAACAACUAGGUUUAGUUUGCUUUCCACCUCUGUGGCAGCUGCCAAUGAAAUGGGUAUGCUUUUUCUGUGACUUCACCUCUCGGAAACAGGACCCUCACCUGCAAAAAGGGUGCUGGUCAGGGUCAGAGAUUGUGCCUGUGAAGUGUCUGCUCCACGGGAGGAUGCAGGGCAGCUCCCUCAGUGGCUGGAGCCCUUCUGCCCUUCCAGCCCUCCCUGAGCUGUUGAUGACAGCAUCACAGGGACCAAGCCUCGACGGCCCCUCUCAGCCCCUCAUCAACACACAAAAUGACUCGCUGGGUUAUUUGAGUCCCCUAGUGGACAUUCUAAAUGAAAUGGGCCUAAAACACCACCAAAUCAGCAGGGAAAUGCAAGUCAAAACUACCAUGAGCUAUCACCCCCCACCUGUUAGGAUAGCUAUUAUCAAAAAGACAAAAGAUAACGAGAGCUGGCAAGGACGCGGCAAAAAGGGAACUCUUGUGCGCUGUUGGCAGGAAUGUCAACUGGUGCAGCUACUGUGGAAAACAGUAUGGAGGCUUCUCAGAAAAUCAAAAACAGAACUACCAUAUGGUUCAGCAACUCCCCUUAUGGGUAUGUAUCCAAGGGAAAUGAAACCAGUAUCUCAAAGAGCCAUCUGGAGUCCCAUGUUUAUCACAGCAUUACUUACAAUAGCCAGGAUAUGGAAACAGCCUAAGUAUCCAUCCAUAGGUGAAGGGAUAAAGAGAAUCUGAUACAUGAUAUACAAGGGAAUAUUAUUCAGCCUUAAAAAAGAAAGUGAUCCUGCCAUCUGUGACAACGUGGAUGAACCUGGAGAACGCUGUACUAAGUGAAAUAAGCCAGACACAGAAAGACAAAUACCAUAUGAUCGCAUUUAUAUGUGGAAUCUGAAAAGGUCACACUUAACAGAAUCGAGAUUAGAACGGUGCUGAUGGCAGAGUAAAGGGUGGAGGAAAAUGGGGAGAAGUUGAUCCAAGGGUACAAAGUGUCAGUUAUGCAGGAGGUGUAUGACAAAUUGUACCUAUUGUACCUAUUGGAGAUCUACUUGACAGCAUGUUGGCUGUAAUGACCAAUACUGUACUGUAUACUGUGUAUUGUAAUUUGCUAAGAGAGUAGAUCUUAAGUGCUCUUAACACACCACACACACACACACACACACACACACACACACACACACACAAAGAAAAUAGUAACUGUGAUGUAAUGGAUGUAUUAACUAGUGUGGUUGUGGUGGUUAUUUCACAAUUUAUAUGCGUACCAGAACAUUACAGCGUAUACCUGAAAUAUGUGCAAUUUAUAUUUGUCAAUUUUGCCCCAAUAAAGUGGAAACAAUGGAACUGGCCUAUUUGGUAACUGGUUUCGUUUUAAACCCCAUGGGGAUGUCGUACACCUACGCUUCUAAUCAAUUCUAAAACAACUUUACUUUUUUUUAUGAUAUCGACACAGCUCUCUGUCAAGGAUGGCAGGUAACUUCGAUAGCUGUUUAAAGUUUCACCUGCUCUGACCUCUGUAAACCUCUGCCCUGUCAAAAUACACAGUAGUUGUCCAAAGCUGGGACCUCAGAGACUAAUAAAAAAUAGAUGUAACCUAGAAAACCUAAGCAGAAGAGCUCUGAGUGUGUAUAAAAGACUUUGCGGUGUGUUCCUUCCCCCUUGCUGCUUCUCUCGUUUCCACCACCACCUUCCCUGCCAUUUCCCAAUGCCAGUUUUGAAGCCGCGAGGCUCUGAGGCGCUUUCUUGAACAGAAGAGUUCAGAGUUGCCAGUGUCCACCUUUGAGCUGCCACUGGUCCCCCCGGCCCCUCCUGAAAGGAGCUCAACGUGCAGACUUUUGCAGACUCUGCCCUUUGUGGCUCCCUUCGCUUCUCCUUGCAGAGAAAGCUGGGCAUGAAAGCAGGAGGGAGCCGGUGAGCAUUUAUGACCGGUCGUCCAGGGUCUGUGUCCUGCUUGAGAGCUUGGGGCCGGCUGUCAGAGUGGACCAGGCGGAGUCGUCAUCGGGCCUGGAGGAAGGAUGGGGACUCUUGGACACCUUCAGAGCCUGUACAGGAAGCCGAGAGGGAUGGAGUCCUGUCCGGCAGCUGGUACUGAAGCGUCAGCUGGGGCAUAGCUCUCACUGCAGCAGCAGCUUGUCACA